CAGCCGCCACGGGAAUACAGAGGGUGCGAGCGUUAAUCGGAUUUACUGGGCGUAAAGCGUGCGUAGGCGGCUUUUUAAGUCGGAUGUGAAAUCCCUGAGCUUAACUUAGGAAUUGCAUUCGAUACUGGGAAGCUGGAGUAUGGGAGAGGAUGGUAGAAUUCCAGGUGUAGCGGUGAAAUGCGUAGAGAUCUGGAGGAAUACCGAUGGCGAAGGCAGCCAUCUGGCCUAAUACUGACGCUGAGGUACGAAAGCAUGGGGAGCAAACAGGAUUAGAUACCCGUGUAGUCCCUGUCUCUUAUAC
rnacentral:rRNA from 1 species